GACGAACGCCGGCGGCGUGCUUAACACAUGCAAGUCGAACGGUGAAGCACCUUCCUUUUGGUGGGUGUGGAUGAGUGGCGAACGGGUGAGUAACACGUGAGUAACCUGCCCCCUUCUUCUGGAUAACCGCAUGAAAGUGUGGCUAAUACGGGAUAUUCUGGGUCUGUCGCAUGGCGGGCCUGGGAAAGAUAUUGUUUCGGUGGGGGAUGGGCUCGCGGUCUAUCAGCUUGUUGGUGGGGUGAUGGCCUACCAAGGCGGUGACGGGUAGCCGGCCUGAGAGGGUGGACGGUCACACUGGGACUGAGACACGGCCCAGACUCCUACGGGAGGCAGCAGUGGGGAAUAGUGCACAAUGGGCGCAAGCCUGAUGCAGCGACGCCGCGUGAGGGAUGGAGGCCUUCGGGUUGUAAACCUCUUUCGCCAGUGAAGCAGGCCUGUCCCUUUUGUGGGUGGGUUGACGGUAGCUGGAUAAGAAGCGCCGGCUAACUACGUG
rnacentral:rRNA from 1 species